UACGGGGGGGCAAGCGUUGUUCGGAAUUACUGGGACGUAAAGGGCCAGUAGGCGGCCAACUAAGUCGGAUGUGAAAUCCCCAGGCUUAACCUGGGAACUGCAUCCGAUACUGGAUGGCUUGAAUUCGGGAGAGGAUGCAGAAUUCAGGUGUAGCGGUGAAAUGCGUAGAUAUCUGGAGGAAUACCGGUGGCGAAGGCGGCAUCCUGGACCGACAUUGACGCUGAACG
rnacentral:rRNA from 1 species